rnacentral:lncRNA from 1 species
AAGCAGUCCACCUAUGAAGGGUAUUGCUUUCUCCUCCACUUCUGAAAAGUCUGUCCUAGUUUUCUCUUUGCCAGCAUCGCCCUUGAGUUGUACACCUCCCAGCCAGGGAAGAGAUGGAAUCUCACCCUUCAUGAACGAAGGGGUGAGUAACACCUGCCAGGAGCUGCAGAUAGCUCCCUGAAAAAUGAGCUGUAAGUGUGACCUUGCUGGUGGCAGAUGCUCUUCACUGACAGGCAGAGAAGUCUAGGUGUGGUAUAACAUGUGGGAGGCGCUUAGCAGAUGCCAUGUGAGACCAAAAAGGAGUAAGAGACUGAAAGGAGAUGUUGGCUCCACCAAACCUCAGACUGCAAUCCCAGAUUGCUAUGCUCUCCUCAACGUGGCUGUAGAAUCCUGAGACUGACUACUGAAGACCCUGCUCCUAUCGUUUACACCUCUCUAGAUCUGGGAUUAAAGGCAUGAG